CACAAGGAGAGGACUUGAGGAGGAUGCUUUGUUAUAUUGCGAAAGUCGACGAAUUAUUAAAAAUCUACUGUUGGAAUCAUGUCCAGGCGGCUGUGAGAUCUGAUCUGAUCAUCAUCCAGUCUGUCUGCAAUGACGUGAAGAAACAGAACAAACUGAGACAGACAACGUCUCCAAGAUGUUUCUUGGAUAUGCUAUUUACCCAUCAUACAUAUAAAGUUUAAGACAUCAUCUAACUCCUUAUUGUCAGACAUAUCAGAACGGAAAAGAACCUUACUGAUGGAAAUACUACAGAGCUGGUGGAUUUAUUUAUAUUAAGCCACGCUGCAGAUGCUGUGAAGAGGUGAAGCCCAAAUGAUACAGACUCAGACAUGGAUGCAGCAGUGCCAGAACACCUGAAGCAUGCUCCAGGAAGUGCUGGGGCUUGUGGAUAUAAAAAAUUAGCCAUAAACAACUUUCACAAACUCUAAAAACAUUUACACAUGUGUUAACCAUUAUACAGUAUUUUUGUUGUUUAC